rfam:Pristionchus pacificus strain PS312 contig5225, whole genome shotgun sequence.
UCUUCAUUUCGCACACUCUCUCGCCUCUCUGACCGGUGAGAGAGUGUGUGAAAUGAAGAGA